UACGUAGGGUGCAAGCGUUAAUCGGAAUUACUGGGCGUAAAGCGUGCGCAGGCGGCUGUGCAAGACAGAUGUGAAAUCCCCGGGCUCAACCUGGGAACUGCAUUUGUGACUGCACGGCUAGAGUACGGUAGAGGGGGAUGGAAUUCCGCGUGUAGCAGUGAAAUGCGUAGAUAUGCGGAGGAACACCGAUGGCGAAGGCAAUCCCCUGGACCUGUACUGACGCUCAUGCACGAAAGCGUGGGGAGCAAACAGG
rnacentral:rRNA from 1 species